UAAAGGACUGAGCCCUGAACAAAGAGUCAGGUUACCUUUUAAGCAU
rnacentral:sRNA from 1 species